rnacentral:rRNA from 1 species
GAUAAAGCGGAGGUAUUCGGGGAGACAGGUGGUGCAUGGUUGUCGUCAGCUCGUGUCGUGAGAUGUUGGGUUAAGUCCCGCAACGAGCGCAACCCCUAUUGCUAGUUACCAUCAUUAAGUUGGGGACUCUAGCGAGACUGCCAGUGAUAAACUGGAGGAAGGUGGGGAUGACGUCAAAUCAUCAUGCCCCUUAUGACCUGGGCUACAAACGUGAUACAAUGGCUGGAACAAAGGGAUGCGAAGCAGUGAUGUGGAGCGAAACCCAUAAAAACAGUCUCAGUUCGGAUUGAAGUCUGCAACUCGACUUCAUGAAGUCGGAAUCGCUAGUAAUCGCGGAUCAGAACGCCGCGGUGAAUACGUUCUCGGGGUUU